AUGAACGCUAGCGGCGUGCCUAAUACCUGCAAGUCGAGCGAACGGACGAGAAGCUUGCUUCUCUGAUGUUAGCGGCGGACGGGUGAGUAACACGUGGAUAACCUACCUAUAAGACUGGGAUAACUUCGGGAAACCGGAGCUAAUACCGGAUAAUAUUUUGAACCGCAUGGUUCAAAAGUGAAAGACGGUCUUGCUGUCACUUAUAGAUGGAUCCGCGCUGCAUUAGCUAGUUGGUAAGGUAACGGCUUACCAAGGCAACGAUGCAUAGCCGACCUGAGAGGGUGAUCGGCCACACUGGAACUGAGACACGGUCCAGACUCCUACGGGAGGCAGCAGUAGGGAAUCUUCCGCAAUGGGCGAAAGCCUGACGGAGCAACGCCGCGUGAGUGAUGAAGGUCUUCGGAUCGUAAAACUCUGUUAUUAGGGAAGAACAUAUGUGUAAGUAACUGUGCACAUCUUGACGGUACCUAAUCAGAAAGCCACGGCUAACUACGUG
rnacentral:rRNA from 1 species